rnacentral:rRNA from 1 species
UACGUAGGUGGCGAGCGUUGUCCGGAUUUACUGGGCGUAAAGAGCGCGUAGGCGGUCGUGUAAGUCGAAUGUGAAAGCCCCUGGCUCAACUAGGGAGAGUCAUUCGAUACUGUUCGACUCGAAGGCAGGAGAGGGAAGUGGAAUUCCGGGUGUAGUGGUGAAAUGCGUAGAUAUCCGGAGGAACACCAGUGGCGAAGGCGACUUUCUGGCCUGUUCUUGACGCUGAGGCGCGAAAGCUAGGGGAGCAAACGGG